CCGGAAGCCUUGGGCUGAGGCUGCGUGCGGGGAGCAGGAGGAACCGGGCUUCGGGGGCUGCAGAAUAAUGUCUGAUUCACUGCAGCUCAGCGGCUCUCAGACUUGAGUGGUUCACAUCCCCCCUCAAACACGUGUGGAUAGAACAUCAAGCUCCCACUGGGCCCGGGAGUCACAUACCAGAGUUUGGUACCUCUGCUCCAGACCAUCCUGUCCUCCCAGUGGAUGGGGAAGGAAAACAGCUGCUGCGGAGCUAACUCAGUGGCUGGUUGUGCACUUCACUGAGGGGGAGUGGGAGGUGCUGGACCCCGGCCAGAGACCCUCGACUGGGACGUCGUGCAGGAGAAUUGCGAUGCCGUGACCUUGCUGGCAGGCCCAGGGCAGUACAUGUGGACAGGACGAGCGCCACAUGAUCCCUCGCCUGCAACCUGAAAGGUGCCUUUGACUAGCCAGUCAUCCAGAUAUGGGAAUAUUUGGAACCCCUGGCAUCUGAGCAAACAGAACCUUCCUGUCGAAAGGGAGAUCCUGCACUGACAGCUGCGCUUCACUGGAGAGCCCGGAGAACAGAAGCCAUGACACCCGUUUCAUGGACACCGCCGAGGCCAUGGACUGUGCGGCCGUGUCCGCUGCAUCUGAAGCGGCCUGCAGGGAUGCCCUUGUGGCCGCCGCCCCUUCCUCCACGAGCACCUUAAACUCCUUCUUAUUGCGCUCCCGGAGGGAGUCCUCAAACUUGGGGAGGGAUUCCCAGAGGUUAAACUUGUAGCGACCCAGGAGAGCCUGAUGGUUUGCUGCUCGUAGCUGAAAGCUUGACGACAAAUUAACUUUUCUCCUGAAAGUAUCCAGCCUCCGAGAGUCUUUGUUCUUGGGGGUUGGGACUGGCUGUCCCUGCCGCUCCCUCUGGUUGACCGACUCGACCACCAGGGAGUUGGGUGCCGGGGUGGGUAUACAGAUACUCGUGUCCCUUCGUGGGUACAAAGUACUUGCGCUCUGCCUUUUUAGAGAUGUGAGCCAACGAGGCUGUUGUUUACCACAGGGCAUUUGAAAUUCUUGCCACCCCUUCAUGGAGCGGCAAGGCCACUCUGCCCAGUGCUGAAGGGGACAGCACAUUGAACAGGGAGUCUGAGGGCUCUUUCAUCUCCUCAGCCUGGAGGUGGAGGCUCGCUGCCACCCUUUCUAGGAGGUCUUGGUGGGCCCGGUAGUCCUCCUGCAGGAUGGAGGGGGGCGGGGGCACAAUCGGCUCCUCUGGACGGGGCGAGGCUGGUGCAGUGCUUUGGGUGUUGUCCGGCAUCGGAGGAUCCACCAUCUGGUCAGACUCCGGGCACGGUACUGAGGACACGGGUCCUACUGACCUUCCUGGCGGUCUAGAGGUGGAUGCAGCCGGUGCUUCCGAGGCCCCGGUCACCAAGUGACGCUGCGCUGGAGGCCAUAGUUCCCACUGGUACCACUGGGCUGGCCACGACACUUGGUGCCAUUGCUCUUGCUGAGGCCCCAGCGGGGCCGGCUAUUUGGGCUGGCUAGCUUGGUAUGUAGACGGGCGGCUGUGAGGGGAGGCCAGGCUGGCGUAUGAUCCACUGCUGCCUCUGGACCGGGAGUAUCGGUGGUGCCGGGAUCUACGUUGGCCACAGGAACGCGAUGUCGAUGCGGAGGAGCGGCGCUGAGGAUAAUAGCUGCUCUGCAAACGGCCUCGACGGGCGGACCCAGGUUGGCGAGACACCGGUGAUCAACAGCUGGGGCUACAGUGCCUUGGUAUGGGAGUCCAAGCGGGAACAGCGUCGACGAUCGUGCCACAACCGACUGCAGUAUCUCCUGCAAGACGAGGACCGUUGGUGACCUCCACCACGGUCCCGUCGAUAUUCGCUUCAUGAAGACGAGCGGUGCCGAGAGUCUCGAUUGGAUGGCACCUAUCCGCACAGUCUGGCUGGCGUUGAGGACGAUCCACAUGCACUGAGCCCUGAACGGUUGCUGAGCGGUGUCGGGAACGUUCCCUUGACCGAGCCCAAUACGGCGACUGCGGUGAUCCCAGUGGCAGCUUGCCUCUGGACCGUGGGGCAAACAUCGGCGAAGCUCCAGGCACCGGCAUGGACAUAACGUCCCUGUUCUGGGCCAAGGUACUCGAAGCACCACAGGCCUGGCAGGAGUACUCUGAGAAAAACGAGGCUUACACACAGCUGUGAGUUAUUGGCUUUACUGAAGGUUAGUGACCCACC